ensembl:snoRNA
GUGUUCAAUGAUGAUUUCUGUUUAUAUGCCCGAUUUCCUUUUGGAUAAUGAAGGCAUCUUUAGUCACUACCUCUUCUGAGACAC